rnacentral:RNase_P_RNA from 1 species
GGAGUUGACCAGACAGUCGCCGCUUCACUGCCGUCCCUUUCGGGGGAGACAGGUGGAGGGGAGGAAAGUCCGGGCUCCAUAGGGCAGGGUGCCAGGUAACGCCUGGGAGGCGCAAGCCUACGACUAGUGCAACAGAGAGCAAACCGCCGAUGGCCCGCGCAAGCGGGAUCAGGUAAGGGUGAAAGGGUGCGGUAAGAGCGCACCGCGCGACUGGCAACAGUUCGUGGCACGGUAAACUCCACCCG